rnacentral:rRNA from 1 species
UACGUAGGGGGCAAGCGUUGUCCGGAUUUACUGGGCGUAAAGGGCGCGUAGGCGGCGCAACAAGUCACUUGUGAAAUCUCCGGGCUUAACUCGGAAAGGUCAAGUGAUACUGUUGUGCUAGAGUGCGGAAGGGGCAACUGGAAUUCUCGGUGUAGCGGUGAAAUGCGUAGAUAUCGAGAGGAACACCUGCGGCGAAGGCGGGUUGCUGGGCCGACACUGACGCUGAUGCGCGAAAGCCAGGGGAGCGAAUGGG